rnacentral:tRNA from 1 species
GGUCCGGUAGUUCAGUCUGGUUAGAAUGCCUGCCUGUCACGCAGGAGGUCGCGGGUUCGAGUCCCGUCCGGACCGCCA